CCUGCGGGAGGCAGCAGUGGGGAAUAUUGGACAAUGGGCGAAAGCCUGAUCCAGCCAUGCCGCGUGUGUGAAGAAGGCCUUCGGGUUGUAAAGCACUUUCAGUGGGGAAGAAAGCCUUGGGGCUAAUACCCUCGAGGAAGGACAUCACCCACAGAAGAAGCACCGGCUAACUCCGUGCCAGCAGCCGCGGUAAUACGGAGGGUGCGAGCGUUAAUCGGAAUUACUGGGCGUAAAGCGCGCGUAGGCGGUCUGAUAAGCCGGUUGUGAAAGCCCCGGGCUCAACCUGGGAACGGCAUCCGGAACUGUCAGGCUAGAGUGCAGGAGAGGAAGGUAGAAUUCCCGGUGUAGCGGUGAAAUGCGUAGAGAUCGGGAGGAAUACCAGUGGCGAAGGCGGCCUUCUGGACUGACACUGACGCUGAGGUGCGAAAGCGUGGGUAGCAAACAGGAUUAGAUACCCUGGUAGUC
rnacentral:rRNA from 1 species